GCAUUUUUUUCUUUGUUCUCUCUUCCCUGGGAAGAAACAUUGCCCCUCGAGUUGCACUUUAUUUUGAUUUCAGCAGAGAUUUUGAGUACAGGCAUUUGUACUUUUCAGCAAUUUUCUAAUUCGCCUUUUUCACCAUUUCGAACCCACACGCCGUGACUGAAUCUGAUCCCACUUUUAUUAUUUAGGUGCAACAUCUAGGGUUUGCAUUUCAGCUUUCAUACUUUUUCCUCUUUUUCUCUCUUCUUCCGCUCUUUCUCUUCUUUCUUUCUCUGGCUCCUUCGUCUGAACGCCACUCUUUCUCUCUUUCGUUUUUUUCUUUCAUCACCAUUCAUCCCUUCUCUCUCUUCUUUUUCUUUCGUCACCGGUUCUUUUUUUUUUAUUCUUUUUUUUUUCCUCACUUCUCUUUCCUAUAAUUUCUCUCUCCAUCUCCGUGGGCUUGGUGGAUUUUGACUGUGGUGGUGAUUGAUUUUGGGUGUGGGUUUCCCGGAUUUGGUGGUGGUGGGUUUGGGUGUGGGUUUGGCCGUGGGUUUGGUGGUGGUGACUGAUUUUGGGUGUGGGUUUCUCGGAUUUGGUGGUGGUGGGUUUGGGUGUGGUGAUUGAUUUUGGGUGUGGGUUUCUUAGAUUUUGGCUAUGGUGGUGGUGGGGUGGUGGUUAAGUUUCAAGUAAGUAGCAGUGGUGUGGUGAUAGUUUGAGUUUUGGGUGGCUGGUUGGUGUGGUGGUGGCAGUUUUGGGUGGCUUGCUUUGUAUCUGAGAAGAGAGACAGACGAAGAGGAAGAGAGAGAAAGAGUCGAGGAAUACAUGAGGAGACGUAGAAACGACACUGGUUGUGGCUUUGCUUGCAACAGUCAAGCACUUCUGCCACGUGCUGUGGCUGGACUGCUGGCAUUGGGAACAGAAGGAUUUCGAAAGAUUUACUAAAUUGCUUCGCAGUCAGAAAAAUGCCCUCGCAGCGCUGAGAAAGAUUUUGGUGUUGAGGAUAAUGAGGAGGGUGUUGACUCUAAUGCUGUUGAUGAUACACUGACUGUUUUUUCGGAUGAAAUGCGUUAGCAGAUUAGUUCCAUAGAAAGUGUCAAAUAGACUAAUGGAUAAGUUUCAUGCUUCCAUGUAUUCAUUAAUUUUUCAAUAAGUUCUAAAAACAAGUCAUUGUUGCGUAUAUCAAUAAUGGAAAUUUGUAUUU